AACGAACGCUGGCGGCAUGCCUAACACAUGCAAGUCGAGCGAGGACUUCGGUCCUAGCGGCGCACGGGUGCGUAACGCGUGGGAACGUGCCCUUUGCUUCGGAAUAACCCUGCGAAACUGGGAGUAAUACCGGAUGAGCCCUUUGGGGGAAAGAUUUAUCGGCGAAGGAUCGGCCCGCGUUGGAUUAGGUAGUUGGUGGGGUAAUGGCCUACCAAGCCGACGAUCCAUAGCUGGUUUGAGAGGAUGAUCAGCCACACUGGGACUGAGACACGGCCCAGACUCCUACGGGAAGCAGCAGUGGGGAAUAUUAGACAAUGGGGGAAAGCCUGAUCUAGCCAUGCCGCGUGAGCGAUGAAGGCCUUAGGGUUGUAAAGCUCUUUCAGCUGGGAAGAUAAUGACAGUACCAGCAGAAGAAGCCCCGGCUAACUCCGUG
rnacentral:rRNA from 1 species